GGGAACAGCAGCAACAUGGGCCUCGCUUCCUGCCGGCGCGGCCCGGGCUGCUGCUGUUCCU
rnacentral:pre_miRNA from 1 species